rnacentral:rRNA from 1 species
GCAUGUCUAAGUAUAAGCAAUUAUACCGUGAAACUGCGAAUGGCUCAUUAAAUCAGUUAUCGUUUAUUUGAUAGUACCUUACUACUUGGAUAACCGUGGUAAUUCUAGAGCUAAUACAUGCUGAAAACCCCAACUUCGGGAGGGGUGUAUUUAUUAGAUAAAAAACCAACGCCCUUCGGGGCUUCUUGGUGAUUCAUGAUAACUUCACGGAUCGCAUGGCCUUGCGCCGGCGACGGUUCAUUCAAAUUUCUGCCCUAUCAACUUUCGAUGGUAAGGUAUUGGCUUACCAUGGUUUCAACGGGUAACGGGGAAUUAGGGUUCGAUUCCGGAGAGGGAGCCUGAGAAACGGCUACCACAUCCAAGGAAGGCAGCAGGCGCGCAAAUUACCCAAUCCCGACACGGGGAGGUAGUGACAAUAAAUACUGAUACAGGGCUCUUUUGGGUCUUGUAAUUGGAAUGAGUACAAUUUAAACCUCUUAACGAGGAACAAUUGGAGGGCAAGUCUGGUGCCAGCAGCCGCGGUAAUUCCAGCUCCAAUAGCGUAUAUUAAAGUUGUUGCAGUUAAAAAGCUCGUAGUUGAAACUUGGGCCUGGCUGGCAGGUCCGCCUCACCGCGUGUACUUGUCCGGCCGGGCCUUUCCUUCUGGAGAACCUCAUGCCCUUCACUGGGUGUGUUGGGGAACCAGGACUUUUACUUUGAAAAAAUUAGAGUGUUCAAAGCAGGCCUUUGCUCGAAUACGUUAGCAUGGAAUAAUAGAAUAGGACGUGCGGUCCUAUUUUGUUGGUUUCUAGGACCGCCGUAAUGAUUAAUAGGGACAGUCGGGGGCAUCAGUAUUCAAUUGUCAGAGGUGAAAUUCUUGGAUUUAUUGAAGACUAACUACUGCGAAAGCAUUUGCCAAGGAUGUUUUCAUUAAUCAGUGAACGAAAGUUAGGGGAUCGAAGACGAUCAGAUACCGUCGUAGUCUUAACCGUAAACUAUGCCGACUAGGGAUCGGGCGAUGUUCUUUUUCUGACUCGCUCGGCACCUUACGAGAAAUCAAAGUUUUUGGGUUCUGGGGGGAGUAUNGNCGCA